GAGAGAGGAGGCUGCGAGAGAGGGAGACAGGGGAGGGGGGUGGUGGGGUGGACUUGGGACUCAAGUUAAUUGGAGUGAACUCGUUGUUUCACAUCAGUUGUUACUGUCGGAUGGUAAGAAGAGCCAGCGGUGAUACUUUUACCGCCGGAUUUUAGCCAAUAACCGGCAGUGAAGAGUAUCAUCACCGCCGGUUUCAAUGCUCGUAGCUCCUAUUUGCUUCAAACCCGGUGGUGAAAGUCUAUCACC
rnacentral:lncRNA from 1 species